UACGGAGGGUGCGAGCGUUGUCCGGAUUUAUUGGGUUUAAAGGGUGCGUAGGUGGCUGAUUAAGUCAGUGGUGAAAUACAGCCGCUCAACGGUUGAGGUGCCAUUGAUACUGAUUAGCUUGAAAGGAUUGGAGGCUGCCGGAAUGGAUGGUGUAGCGGUGAAAUGCAUAGAUAUCAUCCAGAACACCGAUUGCGAAGGCAGGUGGCUACGAUUUAUUUGACACUGAGGCACGAAAGCAUGGGGAGCAAACAGG
rnacentral:rRNA from 1 species